UGGCAAUGAUGUUAAAUUCUACGAUUGUUUCUCGAAACAUUAGUAGUUGUCCAUGCUUGAGAGCUAAUGCUGCUAAUUCCUUCCUUGGAUGUUUGUGGCU
rnacentral:snoRNA from 9 species